GUUUACUUAAUAAAAAAAUAUUUUUAAAGUAUAUAAUUCAGUAGUUUUAAAACAUAUUCACAAAGUUGAGCAACCAUCCACACAAAUUCCAGAGCACUUCAUCACCCCAGAAAGAAACCCUAGACUCAUUAACAGUCAUUCAUCAUCUCCCCCUUCUGCCAGACCCCCCCCCCCAACUAAUCUGCUUUCUGUCUCUAUGUAUUUGCCUAUUCUGGACUUUUCAUAAUCAGAAUCCAAAAUGUGUGCUCAUUGUAUCUGGCUUCUUUCAUUUAGCAUAAUGUUUUUAAGUUCACUAAAGUUGUAGCAUGUAUCUGUACCCCCAUUCCUUUUCAUGGCUGAAUAAUAUUCCUUGUGUGGCUAUCAGUCACAAGAUUGUUGAGAGGACGGUGUGUAUAUCUGUGAUGCAAGCAAGUGCCUUCGAUGCCCGGUCUCAGUGUGAGAAGCACUGUGCUUUGUAUGGCAUUUCAGCUGCCUGAGCUCUCCCCUCACUGGCUGUGUGACUGGGCAAAUCACUUUCUUUGUGCCUCAUUUUCCUCUCAUAAAUGGGGAUAACAGUAGUAAUUCUCAUAGGGUUGAUGAAUUAAAUGAGUUUAUACAUUGAAAGGGCUUAGAAAAGUUCCUGAUAUUAAAGUCCAGUUGUUCCUAUGAAGAAAAAUAGGCUGGCAGAUGCAGAACUCCCCACUGAUUAGCACAUUGCCCUUUAUUCCAGAAUCUUCCAAAUGGCUACAUGGCUACUUAUAAAACUUGGGAUUACAACCAGGUCUGAUUAUAAGAGGAAAUGAAGAUAGCAGGUUCUAUACCUUUUUUUUGGUGAAGGGGAACCAAAUAUGCCACCCCAAAAUGUGCCACUUUGGCACGUAGAUUAUUUUGACCUGAAGGCAGUCAAGUCUCAGCUGACUCAAUUACCUCUCCCUUAAUUGUCUAAAAGAAUUUUGAUGGGGAGCCUGGCCCAGAGAGUUAUUACCAGAGAUAACUUGUUUUUUUUUUUUUAAUCUGAAAGACUUACCCACAUGGCAGGGCCAACAUCUGCUUAGCAAAUAUCUGCUCUUCUCAUCUUCCAGCAAAUUGCCCUCCUCCCCUUUGAAGUCCCCAGCCCCAUCUCUUUGCUCAGUUCAGGAUGGCAUGUGAGCCUCAAUGGCCUGACUGCCUUUGGGUCUCAUAUUUUGAUGCCCCUCAAGCCCCGCCCCCGUACGUACAAAAUAAAAUUUAUUUUUCUCCUAUUAAUCUGUUUUAUGUCAAUUGAAGUAUUUGAGCAGCCAAAGAACUAGAAAGAAAGAAGGAAAAAUGUCCCACCCCAACAGUUUGGCGACCUGCAAAGGGACCUUCACUGGCUGGACACUCUGCUCCCUCCUGGGCUGCUGCCGCUGAGAGAGCCGCAGAAGGCAUAAUUGGAAACAUUGGAUAUAUUACCAAGGCUUUCACUGGAAUGUCAUAUUUGGGAAUAAAAUGCAUCGAUUCAGAUAUAAUCAAAUGGCUUUAAGGAGCUAAUGUUGACUUUAUAGAGCCAACAAAGGCCCUUGGAAAAAUUGGCCUUGUACCUGGCUUACAGGGGUUUAACCAGAUUUUAUUUUUAAGUAAUCUCUACACCUGACAGGGAGCUCGAACCCUUGGCCCCAAGAUCAAGAGUCUCACUCUCUACCAACUGAGCCAGCCAAGCACCCUACAUAAUCUUCUACUUUUUUGACCCUUCUGACUUGGAAUCAUUGAGAACUGAAACUGUUCUUUCCCCAAAGCCGUACAAGCAAGCUAAAGCUGGACAACUUGAUAUAAACUUCAAAGAAAUCACCACCACAGCUCAUGUACAGACGAUCUUUAUGCCUUCAUGGCACUCAGAAAGAUCAGCAGAGACAUUCAGACUGCCAACCAGAAAUCUAUCAGGUUGCCACUGCCCUUUCUCACUCCAUCUGAAGAAGUUUGGAGCCAGAUAUCUAGAAAUCUUCUCAACUGGAUGCCUUCAGAACUCAGAAACUGGGAGUAUAAUCUUCUCCAAUCAUUAACCAUUGUUUUUCUUUUGUUUCCGUAGAAAUGCCUCUUAUUAAAUAUCUGACUGCUUGCACAAUAGACCUAACUUUGGGAGUCCACCUGCAUUUUCACCUCCUAAAAUGAGACACAAGACACAACUGUUUAAUUGAACUGGCCUAUUCUCUGGACUAAGAGACCGGUUCAGUGAGAUAGGGCGAUUUACCAACUCAACUUAUGAACUAUGAGGUUUCUUGGGAAAGUUUCAAAAAUGGGAUUGAAGGGAACAGAAUAUGCUACCCCAAAAUUGCCACUUUGGCAUGUAGAUUAUUUUGAUCUGAAGGCAAUCAAGUCUCAGCAAACUCAAGGAAAGCUUUUACCUCUUCCUUAAUUGCCUAAAAGAAACUUAGAUGGGGACCCUGGCCCAGAAAGAAAGUUAUUACCAGAGAUAAUUUUUUUUUUUUUUAAUCUGAAAGACUUACCCACAGGGCAGCGCCGAGGGCCAACAUCUGCCUGGGAAACAUCUGCUCUUCUCAUCUUCCUGGAAAUUGCCCUCCUCCCCUUUGAAGCCCCCAGCCCCAUCUCUUUGCUCAGUUCAGGAUGGCAUGUGAACCUCAAUGGCCUGGGUCUCAUAUUGGGUCUCAUAUUUUUGGGUCUCAUAUUUUUGGGUCUCAUAUUUUUAUGGAGCUCCUAUACGUACAAAAUUAAAUUUGCUUUUAUUUCCUGUUAUCUGUCUUAUGUUAAUUUAAUUAUUAGACUAGCCAAAGAACUUAGAAGGGAAGAUGGAAAAUUAUUCUGCCCUCACACAGGCAUUUAGGAUUUUGUAGUUGUUCAGACUUUCAAAUUUGUUUUUAGUGAUAACGAACCAAGGGACUUUUUCCUAUAUGUACUUCUAAGGUCAUCUACUUUGAGAACAAACUGCUUUAUUUAUUUAUUUUUUAAGAUUGUAUUUU